UAAAACCUAAACGACGUAUGCCCUACCUCUCAUACAUCCUUACGACUCCUUAGUCGAUCCAGUGUGAUUAAGUUCUUAAUGAUUUCA
rfam:Bacillus thermoamylovorans genome assembly, strain 1A1, contig: A1A_CC19